rnacentral:rRNA from 1 species
ACUCCUACGGGAGGGCAGCAGUGGGGAAUAUUGGACAAUGGGCGAAAGCCUGAUCCAGCCAUGCCGCGUGUGUGAAGAAGGUCUUCGGAUUGUAAAGCACUUUAAGUUGGGAGGAAGGGUUGUAGAUUAAUACUCUGCAAUUUUGACGUUUACCGACAGAAUAAGCACCGGCUAACUCUGUGCCAGCAGCCGCGGUAAUACAGAGGGUGCAAGCGUUAAUCGGAAUUACUGGGCGUAAAGCGCGCGUAGGUGGUUCGUUAAGUUGGAUUGUGAAAUCCCCGGGGCUCAACCUGGGGAACUGCAUUCAAAACUGUCGAGCUAGAGUAUGGUAGAGGGUGGUGGAAUUUCCUGUGUAGCGGUGAAAUGCGUAGAUAUAGGAAGGAACACCAGUGGCGAAGGCGACCACCUGGACUGAUACUGACACUGAGGUGCGAAAGCGUGGGGAGCGAAAC